rnacentral:misc_RNA from 1 species
GUCACUAUAUAUUGGGGAAAACAAGAAAAGAAAAGAAAAUAGUCACAUAAACUAGCAUAACCCUAAUUAAACUCAAUUAACCAAAAUUAAUAAGUUAUAUAAUAAUUAUGGGGAUAAAAGAGAGAACAACCUGCUGCUAGUAAAGAAAAGAUAAAACAAUAUGGUAAGUAGCUUUAGCUAGGAGCAACUUCAACAGAGCAACCUUGCGCAAACUGAUACUUGAUCCCUACCCCGUUGUUAAUGCCAUGGAUCCGGUCGCCAAAAGUCAUAUAGGCCGGACAAUUGACGUUGAUACGAUACUUGCCCGAAAUCCAUGAGCCAACCUUCCAUUUAAGAGUCCCAUCGAUCUUGAUAUUGACAAGCACGGCCCCAGCAUUGAAGUCUUGGCCCAAAGUAGCAGCUAGGUAUGGAGAUAUAGGCACAGCAUUAGCAUAUAGAAAGGGAGACCA